rnacentral:rRNA from 1 species
UGGGGAAUUUUGGACAAUGGGCGAAAGCCUGAUCCAGCCAUGCCGCGUGAGUGAAGAAGGCCUUCGGGUUGUAAAGCUCUUUUAGUCGGAAAGAAAGAGUUGCAAUGAAUAAUUGUGAUUUAUGACGGUACCGACAGAAAAAGCACCGGCUAACUACGUGCCAGCAGCCGCGGUAAUACGUAGGGUGCGAGCGGUAAUCGGAAUUACUGGGCGUAAAGGGUGCGCAGGCGGUCUUGCAAGUCAGAUGUGAAAGCCCCGGGCUUAACCUGGGAAUUGCGUUUGAAACUACAAGACUAGAGUGCAGCAGAGGGGAGUGGAAUUCCAUGUGUAGCAGUGAAAUGCGUAGAGAUGUGGAAGAACACCGAUGGCGAAGGCAGCUCCCUGGGUUGACACUGACGCUCAUGCACGAAAGCGUGGGGAGCAAACA